rnacentral:rRNA from 1 species
AUGUACAUGGAUAGAUAUCUAGAUGUUUCUUGGAGAGGUGUCAUGUCCUGCAUAUCGGAACCAGGUCUUUGUCUUGCACAGAUUUAUCAUUGGAACAUCUUUUCACGCUCUUCGCUGGAUAAAUUCCAUUUAGCUUUUCAUAAAACGUACAAGGCCCAUAAAUUCUGGAAGGUUUCGGACCCUCGGCUCCGGUCCUUACUUCGGGAUACUAUCACCAAGACAGUCAUUACAGAUUACUGCGACUACCUGAAGGACCAUCCAAAGUUAGAGAAACAUGUUAGGGGCGGAAGUAACAACCCUGACGUUUUGGAGGAGAUGCUGAGAGAGCUAUUUGAAGGAUGA